rnacentral:rRNA from 1 species
UGGGGAAUUUUCCGCAAUGGGCGAAAGCCUGAUCUAGCGAUGCCGCGUGUGUGAUGAAGGUCUUAGGAUCGUAAAGCACUUUCGCCAGGGAUGAUAAUGACAGUACCUGGUAAGGAAACCCCGGCUAACUCCGUGCCAGCAGCCGCGGUAAUACGGAGGGGGUUAGCGUUGUUCGGAAUUACUGGGCGUAAAGCGCACGUAGGCGGACUAUUAAGUCAGGGGUGAAAUCCCGGGGCUCAACCCCGGAACUGCCCUUGAUACUGGUAGUCUUGAGUUCGAGAGAGGUGAGUGGAAUUCCGAGUGUAGAGGUGAAAUUCGUAGAUAUUCGGAGGAACACCAGUGGCGAAGGCGGCUCACUGGCUCGAUACUGACGCUGAGGUGCGAAAGUGUGGGGAGCAAACAGGAUUAGAUACCCGCGUAGUCC